AGCGAACGUUAGCGGCGGGCCUAACACAUGCAAGUCGAGCGAGAAAGGGGCUUCGGCCCUGAGUAAAGCGGCGGACGGGUGAGUAACACGUAGGUAAUCUCCCCUCGAGCGGGGGACAACGAUUCGAAAGGAUCGCUAAUACCGCAUACGUUCCCGGAGACUCUGGUCUCCGGGAGGAAAGCUAGGCAGCAGUGCCCGGCACUCGAGGAGGAGCCUGCGUCGCAUCAGCUAGUUGGUGGGGUAACGGCCUACCAAGGCGAAGACGCGUAGCUGGGCUGAGAGGAUGAUCAGCCACACUGGGACUGAGACACGGCCCAGACUCCUACGGGAGGCAGCAGUGGGGAAUAUUGGACAAUGGGCGCAAGCCUGAUCCAGCCACGCCGCGUGAGUGAUGAAGGCCUUCGGGUCGUAAAGCUCUGUGGGGAGGGACGAACCGCUGCUGGUGCAUAGCCAGCAGCAUGACGGUACCUCCUUAGCAAGCACCGGCUAACUUCGUGCCAGCCGCCGCCGUAACAC
rnacentral:rRNA from 1 species